CCUACGGGAGGCAGCAGUGGGGAAUAUUGCACAAUGGGGGAAACCCUGAUGCAGCGACGCCGCGUGAAGGAAGAAGUAUUUCGGUAUGUAAACUUCUAUCAGCAGGGAAGAAAAUGAAGGUACCUGACUAAGAAGCCCCGGCUAACUACGUGCCAGCAGCCGCGGUAAUACGUAGGGGGCAAGCGUUAUCCGGAUUUACUGGGUGUAAAGGGAGCGUAGGCGGGUUAGCAAGUCAGAAGUGAAAGCCCGGGGCUCAACUCCGGGACUGCUUUUGAAACUGUUGAACUAGAGUGCAGGAGAGGUAAGUGGAAUUCCUGGUGUAGCGGUGAAAUGCUUAGAUAUCAGGAGGAACAUCGGUGGCGGAAGCGCCUUACUGGGCCGCAAUUGACGUUGAGGAACGAAAGCCAGGGUAGCAAAUGGGAUUAGAUACCCCAGUAGUC
rnacentral:rRNA from 1 species